GCCGGUGUGAACCCGGCGCUGUCCCGCAACGGUGAUGCCCCACCCUUCUACCAGGGUUGGGGAUGAGCCCGG
rnacentral:ncRNA from 17 species